GUGCUUACCUUGGAAGCACAUAUACUAAAGUUGGAAUGAUGCAAAGUAGACUAGAAUGGCCCCUAUGCAAGGAGGACAGGACAAUUGAUGAAGUGUUCCAUAUUUUA
rnacentral:snRNA from 1 species